GCAUGCAUGAGACUAACCAUCCCCUUCCUGUCCAGAACUGAUCCUGGAUGACAGCUGUGCUGAAGACCAGGACGGGGAGUUGGACGGACUGUGGACCACCAUCUCCAUCUUCAUCACCCUCUUCCUGCUCAGCGUGUGCUACAGCGCCACUGUCACCCUCUUCAAGGUAAAGUGGAUCUUCUCGUCAGUGGUGGAGUUGAAGCGCACGAUUGUCCCCGAUUACAGGAACAUGAUCAGGCAAGGGGCCUAGGGCAAGCCCUCUGAGAUGGAUGUCCAGCAUUGCCCUAGACCCCAUGUAGGAAAUGGGUGCCUCAGUUUGUGCCACUUGCCUGCUUCCAGGCCUGCUCCUCUACUCUCUGACCUCACCAAGCUCUGACCUCACGGUCAUCCUGGGCCUGCACCUCCACCAUCUGGCCUCGUGGCCACCAUGGGCUGUCCCUGCCCCUGACCCACUGUCUGGAGAAUCAAGAGAACACCAAGAAUGCCCCCAACCUGAGCUGAUGGACACCUGCUGGCCAUCACCAAGAUAUGCCUGGGGCCAUGUAGACACUAAGGCAUUGGGCAGUAUGGCCCUCAGGGGAUGGCCCCUGGGUAGACCAGCUCAUUCGUUCCCACAGGAGGCAGAGAGCUGGAGAGCUCAGUGUCUAUCUGGGCAGGGUAUGGCCUCUGUGCACACCCUGUCCAGACCAGGCUCCUGAAUGCAGGAUGUCCCCAGACAGGCACGUUCCAGCACAUCAAGAGGAAGCCAUGGUCUGCUGUCACCCAACAGGGAAACCCUUGACAUGUCGCUAAUAGUCAGUCAGGUCUUCCCCACCAGAGGAGACCACAGUGAGAGGGCCCGGGCCUGAGGCUGCUGCAGGAGCCCCACACCUGCUGGACGACAACACUUGGGGAAGAAGUUAUGUCACCCAGACAGGCCUCCUGGAGAGGGGCUUGCUGACCUGGUCUCAGGCAGAGGGACACAGGCUCCAUGGACAGAGCUGGAGGGUCCUGGGAGGCUAAGGCAGCAGACCCAGCCCACUCUGUCCUGUGGCCUGGACCUGAGCCCCAUGGGGCAGGAACUCCUUCUAGCUUGCAGUUCUGGGGGAGAAGAAUGGGGGGCAGAGAGAGAGCCUGCAGCCAUGGAUAAUGGCCGGGGGGCCCCUACACCUGGAUCUCUGCCUGUCCUGGAGCUACUGCCAGGUGGGAGCCCCUAUAUGGCCUGAGACGGCCAUGCCGGGGAGAAGAAGCAGAGCCCCUGUGCCCCCUGGGAGAGAAUGUGCAGGGAUCAUGCAAACAAAAGCCACUGUUGUAGCUUGGCUAGCUUGUUUUAAUCUCUUUACAAUUCUGGAGCAUAUUAAAUUCCUUACAGAUUCUUUCUUUUUGUAAAGACAAUAAAAUCUUCAAAAAUUCCAGAAA